GCUCGUGUGGCAUAGUGGUUAAGAGCGAUAAACUAACGCUGGAGAGAUCUGGGUUCAGAUCCCCGCUUAGGCA